CCCUAGCGCUGUUCUCCACUAUUUCCUCCCUUCUCAUCUUGCAGUCCCUGCUUGACCCACUGCGGUUGGCCUCCACCCCCUCUAGUGCCGGGAACUUUCCGGGCUGAGGUCACCAGGGACCUCUUCCUUGCAUAACUCUUUCUUCCCUUGACCUCUCAAUGGCAUGUGACCCUGGCAUCACUUCCUCCUUAAAUGUGCCUCUCUGACUUCCAUGACGUGAACUCUCCUGCUUUUCUGGACAGCCUUCUGGGUCUCUCCAGUUGAGACUCUCUGCUGAUCCAGACCCAAACAAUCGACUGCCUACUGAGCAUCACCACCCCAUGUGUCACAGUCACUGGACAUCGGCAUGUCUAAAGGAGUUCCUCACCAGCUCCGCACCCCCAUCCCUACUCCUGGGUUCUACUGGCAACCAUAACAGGAGGAAUGAAGAUUAGACUUCAGGAGGAACCGGGGGAAAAGAGGAACCCAGCAGGGCAAAUGUGCUAUUCAUCUGUCAUCUCUUAGCCUGGAAACUUCCCCAGGAGCAGAGUCAUCAAUCACAAAAUGUUAACUCCAAGGGGAUUUUCAAGGCUCUCCUACCCGGCAGGUAAACCACCUGAAGCUUCGGACCGGCUGGGUCACCUCGGGAAAGUAACUUAACCUCUCUGAACGCCCCCAAGGUCAGAAAGCUUUGCUUUCGGGGGAGAAAGCGGUAUGCAAACAAGACGCAUACGAAACACACACCCGCGGGCGCCGGCGCAGUCCUUUCCCGGAGCCUGGGGCUUUCUAACGGGGAACGCGCGCCCCCAGCCCCCGAGACCGGCGAAACCAAGCGCCGAGCCGGCUAGCAGAAGCGAAACCUCAACACUCUUCAGCCUCCCCCGCUCGGUUCCGGGAACCGGCGAGCCAGGCUUCGUGGAAGCGCGCCCGGCAGCCGCGGGCCUCGGGACCGCCCCGACCACAGCCCGCAGUCCCGGGCCGGGAGUCCCUUAGGCGCGGGACGCGUGAGACGGGCGAGGAUGCCGGAGGCGGGAAGCGAGAGCGGGAAUGCCCAGCCCUGGCAAGCUGAGAGGGGCGGAGAGAGGACCAGCAGAGAUUGAGCGCCUACUGUGUGCCUUAGCGCUUGACAACAGGACUUUCGUUAGAUCUUCACUACAGCCCUUGCCAGAGGGAGUUAAUGCCCCAUUUAAGAGGGAUAAACUGAGCCUCUGAGAGGUGAAGUCACUCGCCGAAAACUGCACAGCCAGGCUCAGCGUGACACCCCAAAUCAGGGCUCAGUUACGCCAAGAAGAACACGAUGAGCUUGAACCACUGGUUUGCCGAGUCCUGUUCUUGCUCUUUUUGUGUAGACAGACACAUAGUAGGUGCUCAGGAAGAUAUUGGAAGAUGGAAAAUGAGCUUGACAGCUCAGCCCCGGAGUACGCGCCGCGAAUCCAGCCCAGCCCGCGGGGCACCGGGUUUCCCCAGACCUCAGAAGGGAACUUUUGCGAUGGGCGGACAUCUCAGUUCGACACAGGCAUUCGACAAACACGUGGUGGCGGAGCCCCAGCCCUAGCGGAGGACAGACCGGAUUCAAAUCCCAGCUCUGCCGCUAUCAGGCUGUGUGACUUUGGGCAAGUCACGUCAUCUGCCGAACCUCGGUUGUACCGCCUACAAAAUGGGGAUAUUAACAUCCACUUCCAAAGGGUUGUGGGGAGGAUUAAACGAAACAAUGUUUCUAACACACUUACUACACGCACAAGUAUCGUCGCGCGUUCAUCCCGCAACCUUCAGGCGGUGCACCCGUUCGGGAUGAGGACCCGAGACUAAGGCUCCUCGGCCCCAGUUCCCAAGUCGCCCACCCCUGGACGCACGGACCGACGGGCCUUCCAGUCACCCUCGUCCGGCGAAACCCGAAAUUUCGGGCACUUCGGCCGCGGUUGGUCCCGAAAACAAAUAUUCAAAUAUUCCGAAACUGGCGCAUGGCUAGGGCUGACAUUUUUGCGUUUAAUUUUCUUGAAGUUUUAUUCUUGUCUGUAAAGGUAAUUCGUUAGACCCUCCUAAGUGAGACUUCUCGUCUUUGUCUUGUUUAACUUUUCGUAAGAGCGAAGUUCACAAAGCAGACCAAGAAUCCGGGCGCGUGGCGGUCCUUGCGGGGAUCCGGGUCCGCAGACCGGCCCCCGGCGAACCCCUGGCUGUCGGCGCCCUCGCCCGGGCACGGCAGUGGCAGAGACAGGCCGCCCCCGACCCCGGCCCGUUUAGAUGGAGCCUCUUCGUCCUGACAGCCCUCUGGGAUUCCCGUGUCCCUGCAGGAACGAGGGGAGGUGGGGGCUGCAGCCCAGAAUUUAGCAUCCCCGACCUCCCCAAACUCCAGCCUCGCUGGGAUUAAGGGAGCAAAUCCCUGAUGCCACAGACCAGGUCAAGGACAAGUUCUCCCCCGCCCUAUUCCC
ensembl:lncRNA